rnacentral:rRNA from 1 species
GACAGAGGGUGCAAGCGUUGUUCGGAAUCAUUGGGCGUAAAGGGCGCGUAGGCGGUCUUGUAAGUCGGAUGUGAAAGCCCAGGGCUCAACCGUGGAAGUGCAUCCGAAACUGUAAGACUCGAGUCCCGGAGAGGGUGGUGGAAUUCCCAGUGUAGAGGUGAAAUUCGUAGAUAUUGGGCGGAACACCGGUGGCGAAGGCGACCCCCUGGACGGAGACUGACGCUGAGGCGCGAGAGCGUGGGGAGCAAACAGG